CCACACCCCGGGAUCGGUGGAGGAAGAUGCUUUGCUCUGUGGACCUGUGAGCAAGCAUAAGCCGCCAAACCAAGGUGAGGACAGACGAGUGCCACAAAACUGGUUUCCUAUCUUCAAUCCAGAGAGAAGUGAUAAACCAAAUGCAAGUGAUCCUUCAGUUCCUUUGAAAAUCCCCUUGCAAAGGAAUGUGAUACCAAGUGUGACCCGAGUCCUUCAGCAGACCAUGACAAAACAACAGGUUUUCUGGUUGGAGAGGUGGAAACAGCGGAUGAUUCUGGAACUGGGAGAAGAUGGCUUUAAAGAAUAUACUUCAAGGGCAAGCUGUGUGUGAUUGAUUGGAAGACAUCAGAGAAACCAAAGCCUUUUAUUCAAAGUACAUUUGACAACCCACUGCAAGUUGUGGCAUACAUGGGUGCCAUGAACCAUGACACCAACUACAGCUUUCAGGUUCAAUGUGGCUUAAUUGUGGUGGCCUACAAAGAUGGAUCACCUGCCCACCCACAUUUCAUGGAUGCGGAGCUCUGUUCCCAGUACUGGGCCAAGUGGCUUCUUCGACUAGAAGAAUAUACGGAAAAGAAAAAGAACCAGAAUAUUCAGAAACCAGAAUAGGGAACAGGAUGCUAUUUGGGAACAUUCAGCACCUUCUCACAGUUUGGGAACAUAUAUUGCCGUUUACUCCAGUGUAAAAAUGAGUUGCCACUGGAUCUGAGUGCUACACGAACACAAGUAGA
rnacentral:sRNA from 1 species